AUUCCGUUUGACUUGCUUUCUAUUCCUAUCCUUAAAAUAUCUGUGACGUUUGACUCAUUUGUGCAGUUUUUCUGAAAAAGGGCAAAGGUAAGACGUGAAGCACUGGCCCCAAUUAAAUACUGGAAUUGGAGGGUGAAAAUUUCACCAACUUUAAUGAAGGUUAUAUUAGGAGGUUGAAUUGAA
rnacentral:ribozyme from 12 species